rnacentral:rRNA from 1 species
UACGGGGGGUGCGAGCGUUGUCCGGAAUCACUGGGCGUAAAGGGCGCGUAGGCGGCGCGGGGAGUCAACGGUGAAAGCUCGGCGCUCAACGCCGAGUCGGCCGUCGAUACUCCCGUGCUCGAGCACUGUAGAGGCAGGUGGAAUUCCGGGUGUAGCGGUGGAAUGCGUAGAGAUCCGGAAGAACACCGGUGGCGAAGGCGGCCUGCUGGGCAGUAGCUGACGCUGAGGCGCGACAGCGUGGGGAGCAAACAGG